UGAGCAACCUGCCUCUAGCUCUGGGAUAACUCCGGGAAACCGGGGCUAAUACCGGAUACGACCUCGAGCGGCAUCUAUCGAGGUGGAAAGUUUUUCGGCUAGAGAUGGGCCCGCGGCCUAUCAGCUUGUUGGUGAGAUAACGGCCCACCAAGGCGACGACGGGUAGCCGGCCUGAGAGGGUGACCGGCCACACUGGGACUGAGACACGGCCCAGACUCCUACGGGAGGCA
rnacentral:rRNA from 1 species